rnacentral:lncRNA from 1 species
AACACAACAAAAUCAAUAGUUUAUCUAUUAGUUAGUUUACAUUUCUUCAAUCACAGUCCUCAAAUUUAGUAUAUGUACCUACUGGCUACAAUUUUUAUUCAACAACUGCUGCAUAAUUAUCCUUUACAUGUCAUUUCAUUGGUUGGUUUGCUGUUAGGUUUCUGUCCCAUUGAUGUCAACCCAUUUCCUACUUUCCUAAUGUUUACACAUAUAAACAAAUGGAUUUCAUUUGUUUGUGAUGCACAACAGUGAUAAGUAAGAAUAAUAUAUUAGCUAACAAGAAAUACUUCAAUAUUUAUUGGGAUCAUCAGGGCAAGUAAAUUUUUUUCCGGACAAGUAAAAUUUUAGGUUUCACUUGCCCGGGGACAAGUGCUCACAACAAAUAUUUCC